AGUCCCGGCUAGGGACACAGCUCUUAGACUUUGAGCUAGACAACCAGGAGGACAGGAGGACCUAGUAUCCUGCCUCCAUCAGCCCAUCAUUUAUGCAAAUGCUACUUAGUUGCCGUCUAGAUGCAGGAUGCUGUCUGCCCUGUUAAAUGCUGUGUGAACCCAGAUGGAAGCUGAGCAGACAUCACACUCGUGAGCAGCUCCCCUUCCUAUGUUAUACGACCUCGUUCGCUGAAGUCAAAGAUGCAGAGGGGCCAAGGUGUGGGCUCCGGACCUCACACCAGUGUGGCAGAUUCAACAAGCCCAGAAUAAGCCUCUUCCUUUGCUCACAAUAAGAUUAAGCCAACUGCCUCUUCAUUCCUCAGUCACACUCCUCCUCUGACCCUGCUCCAGGAGGCUCAUCUUGUCAGACUUCACACUGAAUGAGCGCUGAGGAUGCUGUAGAGUAUGAGCUGUGUGCAGGAUUGCUAUCUUCUGGUCCUGUACUCCUCAAGCUCAAAGGCCAACGUCCUGGCAUUUGUGUGACGGCUUUUGCCCUACCCUGCAGAAUUUGCAAUAGGCAGUCUCUACAUGUACUCAGGGCCCAGUGGGCAUUCAACAUGUUCAUUGAAUGACAA
rnacentral:lncRNA from 1 species